ACUGGCAUAAUGAUGAUUUCUUUUUGCCGUUUACCCAUCUGAAUGUAUGAUGUGUAUAUGUUCAAAUCUGAUAUGCCAGU
rnacentral:snoRNA from 1 species